UAUGAACUGUUUUCAUUUCUUAACGAAGUGAAUCUCAGACGACUCAGCAAAGCAGAUGCACUGAACGGUUAUUAGACUGCUUUCCAGAAAGGCUCUGAUAAUCCACACUCCCUCCAGCAAUAGCCACACCCACACCCUUCAGCCAUAGGUAUUUUCACUGUUUUUCAGUGUGACAUGAAUAGAGCCAUACCUAACUUAUAUCAAGGUAACCGGCACUGCCUUGACUGUUGCUGGGUUUCUGAACAUUCUCCUGUGUGUGCUGAUAUCACAUGAAGAUCUGCUUUUCUACAAACUGCCUUUUGUAUCUGGCUCUCAUUUCUCUCUUCCAGAUUUUUUCCCUUUGUUUUUCUGUUCUUCUUGCCAAUUGGAAGAGCGCUCACAUACGGUAUCAUUUAGCAUUUUCUUUCCUGUUCCAUGAACAUUAUUUUCCAGCUCCAUCAUGACUACUGAUAUUGUCUACUGCAUCUCUUGCCUAUAGGCAAGAUCUACAUUCUACAGCCAAGUAGGUCUGUCAUUUAAGAGCUUCUGGGUCUCCAGUCUUUUG
rnacentral:lncRNA from 1 species